rfam:Hordeum vulgare subsp. vulgare, WGS project CAJW01000000 data, contig: morex_contig_63180
CAGGUUGCGAUGAUCAAAAUAACUACCUAUUUUCUGAGGGAUCUCUAUCCACCUGCACAGGAAUCAACUAUUUAUUCUGAGCCU